UUGGUCAACUGGGCCACCGCGCACAAAACCCAUUGCAGUUGUAGCAGGGACUCUUUCCCCGUGCCACGGACGACAAUGACUGCCGACGCGGCGCUCCUCGCCAUCAUCGUCGCCUUCCUCCUCCCGCUACGCCUCGUCUCCCUCGGCCUCAGCCUGGCGUCCGGGCGUCACGGUACUAGCUCCAGACGCGUCCGCCGUUCCUGUGCCGCUUUGGCCGUCGCAGCCGCGCUCCUCGCAGUCAUCUUCGCCCUCCCGCGUGACCACGUCCGGGAGUGCGCCGCUCCGAUCGCUUCUGUCUCCAGUGCCGGGGAUGAUGACGGCGGUUUCCGCGAGGAGCUGCGGUUGGAGGUCGAGCAGCUUAAGCAGCAGCUGGCGCGGCUUGAAUCUCUUUGGGAUAGUAAAUCGAAAGCUGUGGAUGAUAAACUUGAUUCUUUAGAGGAGGAUAAUGGCCGUGUAAUGAGAGCAAUGGCACUCGAUGUCCAGUCUCUGAUCAAUGAGCGGGAAAAUAUCAAGAUUCAGGAAUCAUUAUGCAGCUCAUAUUUUGGUAACAGUAUCAAGGAAAUGGAAAAUGAGGUUCAAAUUCUAAAAGAUGGGUCAAGAAAGAUGAAUUCUGAUAUAUCAUCAGUAGCAAAGGACACGGCAGAAAAGGUCGAAGUUUUGCAUUCAGCUAUCGAGAAGGUUCAAGUUAUAGCUGAUGAAUGGGUCAAGAUGAACUAUACUAUUAACAGAAUAUGGUCAUUCACUAAGGAGACAGAGAAAAGGGUGGAAGGUCUAUAUUCAGAUUUAAUGAAGGAGAGCUGCGCAUCAUUAAAUUAACAGAAGAAAAGAGUCCAAAAUAGACCAAAGUACAAUGCCAAAAAAGGCAGAACACGAGACCACCAAACUCCUGCAGCGCACAGUACUCCAGCCUCCGUCUGCUCAUGAAAACAGCAGGACACACAAGGACACAAGGAGGCAAAUAGCAAAAGUGCCAGGCUCCACACACACCUGCUCUACACUACACACCCAGAAUAAUGGCAGCACCAAGGUCCAAGCCCUCAAGAUGCUUGGCACAGGCAAGACUCCAACAUUCUAACUCAUCUAAAAAAAUCUCUUAAUUCCGCUUAUGGAAGGUAUGACACCAUCAAAAACUGCCUUAUUAUGAUGAAGCCAUAAACACCAAGCCCCCACGAUGAUGAUACUAUUAGCUCUUCUUUUGGAUUUGUGCACUUGCUUACAUACCUUCCUCCACCACUCAGCAAAAGAAGAAUCAUUAGAAACAGGAGAGAUUAACAAGCCCCAACGAAGAAAGAAUGCAGUGCCAAAACUGUCGAGCAAAAAUGCAAUUGCAAAGGAGGUGUUGGAUAUUUUCCGGCUCUUGAUCACAUAAAGGACAAACCUCAGGAUAAUCCAACCCUCUCUUCUGCAGUCUAUCAGAUGUCCAACAUCUAUUACUAAUUGCCAACCAAAGAAAAAGUUUGCAUUUGGGUGGAGCCCAAGUCUUUCAUAAUCCCUUCCAUGGUUUAAAAGUAAUCGAACCCACGAAGAAAGCCUUAUAGCAUGAUUUAGAAGAGAACUGUCCAAGCAAGAAUGAAUCCACAUGUGUCUAUCAGCCUCAUGUGGCUUCAAGCAGACGAAGAGAAAAGUGCCGUUCUGGAGAGACUGAUGAUGCUGUGGACCUGAUGUUUGACCACUGUCAUUGACGACCCGCUUGGAAUUGACACACCGAAGCUGCUAGCAACUUAAUCCGCUUCCAUCCAGUGUUUAUAUUUUCGCGUCCUUAGUGCUUGUGAGACGUCAGUGCAAGGUUGUGGUUGAUGAGACCUUGUGCGACCCGACUUGCUAACUGUUUGCAUGCCGUCAUGGCCCCAUAAUGGGACUAUCUCUAUCUAUAGCAGCUUAUCUAUAAUUAUAUUUAAAUUACACUGUACAAAUAAUACAAUACAGCCCAAAACGGUGUAAAACGGUGUUUUUGUGACCAUAUGGUGCAAUGCUGACAUUAUAAUGUUUGUAGACUGUAAUUUGAAUAUGAGUAAAGCUCGAGAUAGUUUUAUGCGCUACCA